GACGCUGACUUACCAGUAGCAACACGUUUCGGAGCUGACUUCUAGCACAUUGAUGCAAUUGCAGGCAGUAAAAAUGAGCUAACUGGACGUUAGUAACGUACAGCUAUAAACGCUCAGCGUCUGUCUGUUACGUCAGAACUGUGACACUGGUCUCCUAGACGCUGGCGUCUUUAAAGAAACACAGAAUUCGAUCUCUCUGGCAGUAAAAAUGAGCUAACUGGACGUUAGUAACGUACAGCUAUAAACGCUCAGCGUCUGUCUGUUACGUCAGAACUGUGACGCUGGUCUCCUAGACGCUGGCGUCUUUAAAGAAACACAGAAUGCGAUCUCUCUGGUAAGUAAUCCUUUUAUUAUUAUGAAAG